AAAGAUAAAGACUCAAAUUGUGUACGCACUGCUGACGAAAUACACAUUUCAAUGAAACGGAAUAUAUAACUAGAAACAUAACCUUUGUGAGCUAUGCGAUGCGGCAAAUACUGAAACAUUACUUCUGGUUUUAGUAGUUAGGACGCCAUUGACUAUUACCGUUGAGUGAAUGUUACCAAAGCGAAAGCAGGGCCGGAAGUAAAUUCUCGCGGUCAAUAAUGACUUCUUCUCUCCCUCUUCAUAACUCUUCGCUUGUUAGUUAGGCUUAGGUGGCGCCACUCGCAAUUUAUUUAGAAAACAACGUGUAAAACUUGGAGGUCCGUAUUUACCUACGUCAUCGUCUAAUGAUAUUUCAAAAGGCCAUGUAUAUUAAUUAACUGAUAUAUAUUAACUACAUUGCGUGAAAGAAAAAGCUGAAGUCCCAGUUAAAAACAAAGUUUAAGAUAUAUUAAAUUACUUUGACUCUACCUUUUGCUCAUUAUAAUAUUGGGCAACAUUCAAAUGAGCUGAAAAAAAUCGUACGUCCGAAAAGGGUUCAUAGUUCAUCUUUGUGGAAACUCAAAACUUCGCUGGCAAUGCAGUUUUAAUGGUUUUGGUUGGCAUGUUAUUUACUUGAAUUACCUACAAGAAAUGUUGAUCGGACACGAGAAGCUCCAAACGCCUUGCG